AUUGAACGCUGGCGGCAGGCCUAACACAUGCAAGUCGAGCAGGGACUUCGGUCCUAGCGGCGAACGGGUGAGUAAUGCUUGGGAAUCUGCCCAGUAGUGGGGGAUAACGUCCCGAAAGGGACGCUAAUACCGCAUACGUCCUACGGGAGAAAGAGGGGGAUCUUCGGACCUCUCGCUAUUGGAUGAGCCCAAGUCGGAUUAGCUAGUUGGUAGGGUAAUGGCCUACCAAGGCGACGAUCCGUAGCUGGUCUGAGAGGAUGAUCAGCCACACUGGAACUGAGACACGGUCCAGACUCCUACGGGAGGCAGCAGUGGGGAAUAUUGGACAAUGGGCGAAAGCCUGAUCCAGCCAUGCCGCGUGUGUGAAGAAGGCCUUCGGGUUGUAAAGCACUUUAAGCGGGGAGGAAGGUUCGCGGCCUAAUACGUCGCGGAAUUGACGUUACCCGCAGAAUAAGCACCGGCUAACUCUGUG
rnacentral:rRNA from 1 species